rnacentral:rRNA from 1 species
GUGCCAGCAGCCGCGGUAAUACGGAGGGUGCGAGCGUUAAUCGGAAUUACUGGGCGUAAAGCGCACGCAGGCGGUUUGUUAAGCUAGAUGUGAAAGCCCCGGGCUCAACCUGGGAUGGUCAUUUAGAACUGGCAGACUAGAGUCUUGGAGAGGGGAGUGGAAUUCCAGGUGUAGCGGUGAAAUGCGUAGAUAUUCUGGAGGAACAUCAGUGGCGAAGGCGACUCCCCUGGCCAAAGACUGACGCUCAUGUGCGAAAGUGUGGUAGCGAACAGGAUUAGAUACCCCUGGUAGUCC